rnacentral:rRNA from 1 species
UUGACGAUGGAUCACCAGUGAGUGGCGGACGGGUGAGUAACACGUAGGUAACCUGCCCCGGAGCGGGGGAUAACAUUUGGAAACAGAUGCUAAUACCGCAUAACAACAAAAGCCACAUGGCUUUUGUUUGAAAGAUGGCUUUGGCUAUCACUCUGGGAUGGACCUGCGGUGCAUUAGCUAGUUGGUAAGGUAACGGCUUACCAAGGCGAUGAUGCAUAGCCGAGUUGAGAGACUGAUCGGCCACAAUGGAACUGAGACACGGUCCAUACUCCUACGGGAGGCAGCAGUAGGGAAUCUUCCACAAUGGGCGCAAGCCUGAUGGAGCAACACCGCGUGAGUGAAGAAGGGUUUCGGCUCGUAAAGCUCUGUUGUUGGAGAAGAACGUGCGUGAGAGUAACUGUUCACGCAGUGACGGUAUCCAACCAGAAAGUCACGGCUAACUACGUGCCAGCAGCCGCGGUAAUACGUAGGUGGCAAGCGUUAUCCGGAUUUAUUGGGCGUAAAGCGAGCGCAGGCGGUUGCUUAGGUCUGAUGUGAGAGCCUUCGGCUUAACCGAAGAAGUGCAUCGGAAACCGGGCAACUUGAGUGCAGAAGAGGACAGUGGAACUCCAUGUGUAGCGGUGGAAUGCGUAGAUAUAUGGAAGAACACCAGUGGCGAAGGCGGCUGUCUGGUCUGCAACUGACGCUGAGGCUCGAAAGCAUGGGUAGCGAACAGGAUUAGAUACCCUGGUAGUCCAUGCCGUAAACGAU